AACGAACGCUGGCGGCAGGCUUAACACAUGCAAGUCGAACGCGCCCUUCGGGGCGAGUGGCAGACGGGUGAGUAACGCGUGGGAACCUACCUCAUGGUACGGAAUAACUCAGGGAAACUUGAGCUAAUACCGUAUGUGUCCUUCGGGAGAAAGAUUUAUCGCCAUGGGAUGGGCCCGCGUCGGAUUAGCUAGUUGGUGGGGUAACGGCCUACCAAGGCGACGAUCCGUAGCUGGUCUGAGAGGAUGAUCAGCCACACUGGGACUGAGACACGGCCCAGACUCCUACGGGAGGCAGCAGUGGGGAAUAUUGGACAAUGGGGGCAACCCUGAUCCAGCCAUGCCGCGUGAGUGAUGAAGGCCUUAGGGUUGUAAAGCUCUUUCGCCGGUGAAGAUAAUGACGGUAACCGGAGAAGAAGCCCCGGCUAACCUCGUGCCAGCCGCCGCAGUAAUAC
rnacentral:rRNA from 1 species